rnacentral:rRNA from 1 species
CCGAGUUGUAAUCUGGAGAAGUGUUUUCUGUGUUAGACCGUGUACAAGUCUCCUGGAACGGAGCGUCAUAGAGGGUGAGAAUCCCGUCCAUGACACGGACUACUAAUACUUUGUGAUACGCUCUCGAAGAGUCGAGUUGUUUGGGAAUGCAGCUCAAAAUGGGUGGUAAAUUCCAUCUAAAGCUAAAUACAGGCGAGAGACCGAUAGCGAACAAGUACCGUGAGGGAAAGAUGAAAAGCACUUUGGAAAGAGAGUUAAACAGUACGUGAAAUUGUUGAAAGGGAAACGCUUGAAGUCAGUCGCGUUGUGCAGAACUCAGCCUUGCCUCGGCUUGGUGUACUUUCUGCACGCAACGGGUCAACAUCAAUUUUGGCCCAUGGAGAAAGGUGGGGGGAAUGUAGCGCUGCUUCGGCGGCGUGUUAUAGCCCUCUAUUGUAUGCAUGGGCUGGGAUUGAGGAACGCAGCACGCCCUUGUGGCCGGGGGUUCGCCCCACGUACCGUGCUUAGGAUGUUGGCAGAAUGGCUUUAAGCGACCCGUCUUGAAACACGGACCAAGGAGUCUAACAUGCUUGCGAGUGUUCGGGUGGAAAACCCUUGUGCGUAAUGAAAGUGAAAGUUGGGAACCUCCGCAAGGGGGUGCACCGACGCCCGGCCCUGACGUUCUCUGACGGUGCUGCGGUAGAGCAAGUAUGCUAGGACCCGAAAGAUGGUGAACUAUGCCUGAAUAGGGCGAAGCCAGAGGAAACUCUGGUGGAGGCUCGUAGCGAUUCUGACGUGCAAAUCGAUCGUCAAA